rnacentral:rRNA from 1 species
UGCCAUCCGCCGCGGUAAUACGGAGGGUGCAAGCGUUAAUCGGAAUUACUGGGCGUAAAGGGUGCGUAGGUGGUUAUGUAAGUUAUGUGUGAAAUCCCCGGGCUUAACCUGGGAGGGUCAGAUAAUACUGCAGAACUAGAGUAUGAGAGAGGGUAGUGGAAUUUCCGGUGUAGCGGUGAAAUGCGUAGAGAUCGGAAGGAACACCAGUGGCGAAGGCGGCUACCUGGCUUAAUACUGACACUGAGGCACGAAAGCGUGGAUAGCGAACAGGAUUAGAUA